CGACAGAGCAAGACUCUGAAAAAAAAAAAUUCCAGUAAUUGGAAAGGGGAAUUAGAAUUUUAGCUUCCUUGAAACCCUGAACAUUUAGCUUCCUAUGAAACCCAAGCAUGCUCAAUCUCUUUCUCUUCCGUUAGGCAAAAGGACUUGUAAGUAUCAUGCUCUUUCUCUUUGAAGAGCUGGAGAAAUCAGAGGCUCUGAACCUCAUGGAGGAACUCACAGGCAAACCAGGCAAAAGCCGGAGUUUCAACUGCAGUCAGCUGGUCUUCACUUUAUCUUACACUGCCUUUGCCCUCCAGAGAGGUUUGGUUCCCAAAAAAAUCUCUGAAAGGUGCCCAGCUAUGACGUCCAGCACUUCAUUUGGUGAUUCGAAGACCUGGGUUAAAAUACCAGCUCUGCCAUUUCAUUCAAGAUUCCCCUGAAUUCACAUUUAUUGGACACUAUGGCACUCUUUGGGUGAUGGAGAUACAGAGAGAAGCGCAUGAUGUAUGAGUCUUCAGGAGCUGCUGGGCCAGUGCCGGGAUGAUGGCAAACAUAUAAACCCUCAGCAGGGGAGGCAACACGGGAGCUGUGUCCUUAGUGAUGGCAGGGAGUAAGGAAAGGGCAUUCAAGGGCCUGGUGCCUCCAGAGACGAGGAAGGGAGCCCAGGGCAUAUGGAGGGCCUGGAGAGGCUCAGGUCGGAGCUAAGACCAGAGGUACGGUGAGGCUAUGGUGUGGAAAGGCCUUGAACACCAACCUAGGGGGAUUUGACUUGAUGUAGAAGGCAACUGGGAGCUGCACUGUUUCUGAGUCAGGGGAUGAACAUGCUCCGAUUGCUAUGGAAGAAUUUUCCAAGCAGCGCUUUUGAAAAGAGUGAUGGAGCCUGGAUGCAGGGAGACACGGCAUCUGGAGGCUGCUGCAGCCCUUGGCGUGUAUACAGCUGGCGCUCACCUCUUCCCCUCCUUUGUUUCCUCCUCCCUUUCCUGAUUUUCCUCUAUCUUCUUCCUCUUCUUUACCUACUGCCCUCACUUUCUUCAUCAGUUACUUUCUCCUCCAUCCUUUCUUCCUGAAAGGGCCAGAAGCUCUAAUUGUGGACAGGCUAGAACAGAUCCUUUUGCCUCCUUUAGUAUUUCUACUUCGAGUAAAAAUGUCCGAUGAGACAGUGUACUUCCGUAAUAUAUCAUCCUUAUCAAUAAAAGAACUAAUGAACUUUGGCAAUAAACUAUCCAGUGAUAUACUCGUGGGGGAAACCUGAACACAUUUAAGGAGUUUGGCGAGCAGUGCAGUUUCAAGGUGACCCUAUUUGUAGAAUGGAGGCACCUUCCACCUCCUAAAUGAACACAUACUUCCAUCUGCUGUGGCAUUGUUCUGCUUCCUCUAGAAUUUUCCUUGGCAUCACUCACAAGCCCCAACUUGUCGGACGGGGACAAGACACAGACUCACCAACUGUGCAGUUCUGAAAUGCAGCUGAUCUGCAAUACUCACUGUGGCACCAACCUGCUGGUUUGAACAAGUAUGAAAACCUUUUAGCAGAAUACCAAGCAAUAGGAGGUGGAAAUUACCAUCACAGUGACCAUGAGAAAAGCUUCUCCAAUGCACAGUUGCAAAAGGUGCAGGGUAGUUACAGGGUUCCUCGAAAAUUAAAAAGAAAUGGAGUCACUUAAAAAAUAAAAUAAAAUCCAGCCAGACUCUAAAGCAAACUAGCUAGCAAGAAUAGCCAGUGUAUUGCAAAAGUAAUAGGCUUUGCUUUUGUGAACACAGAAUGCAAAGUGCAAACUAAUGGUUUGGCAUGAGUCUUUUUCAGACAUACCAGAUAUACAGAUAG